AGAGUUUGAUCCUGGCUCAGGACGAACGCUGGCGGCGUGCUUAACACAUGCAAGUCGAACGGGGUUUAGUCGAAAGAUUACUUUUAACUAAACCUAGUGGCGGACGGGUGAGUAACGCGUGGAUAACCUGCCCACUAGACUGGGAUAACGCCGGGAAACCGGUGCUAAUACCGGAUACGUUCACCGGAUUGCAUAAUCUGGUGAAGAAAGGUGCAAACCGCUAAUGGAUGGGUCCGCGUCCCAUUAGCUAGUUGGUAGGGUAACGGCCUACCAAGGCCACGAUGGGUAGCCGGCCUGAGAGGGCGACCGGCCACACUGGAACUGAGACACGGUCCAGACUCCUACGGGAGGCAGCAGUGGGGAAUCUUCCGCAAUGGGCGCAAGCCUGACGGAGCAACGCCGCGUGAGUGACGAAGGUCUUCGGAUUGUAAAACUCUGUCCAUAGGGAAGAACUAACUGACGGUACCUUUGGAGGAAGCCCCGGCUAACUACGUGCCAGCAGCCGCGGUAACACGUAGGGGGCGAGCGUUGUCCGGAAUUACUGGGCGUAAAGGGCGUGUAGGCGGCCAAGUAAGUCAGUCGUGAAACCCAGCGGCUUAACCGCUGGCUUGCGAUAGAAACUGCCUGGCUUGAGUGCAGUAGAGGGGAGUGGAAUUCCCAGUGUAGCGGUGAAAUGCGUAGAUAUUGGGAGGAACACCAGUGGCGAAAGCGGCUCCCUGGCCUGCAACUGACGCUGAGGCGCGAAAGCGUGGGUAGCAAACAGGAUUAGAUACCCUGGUAGUCCACGCCGUAAACGAUGGGUGCUAGGUGUUGGGGGUAUCGACCCCCCCAGUGCCGCAGUUAACGCAUAAGCACCCCGCCUGGGAGA
rnacentral:rRNA from 1 species